rnacentral:rRNA from 1 species
ACGGGAAUUUAUUACUCGAUUAACGCUAAGUUAGGGGAGGUAAAGGGCUCACCAAGGCGACGAUCAGUAGCUGGUUUGAGAGAACGACCAGCCACACUGGAACUGAGACACGGUCCAGACUCCUACGGGAGGCAGCAGUGGGGAAUUUUGGACAAUGGGGGCAACCCUGAUCCAGCCAUUCCGCGUGAGUGAAGAAGGCCUUCGGGUUGUAAAGCUCUUUCGCAAGGGAAGAAAACUUAUGAUCGAAUAAAUCAUGAGGUUGACGGUACCUUGAUAAGAAGCACCGGCUAACUACGUGCCAGCAGCCGCGGUAAUACGUAGGGUGCGAGCGUUAAUCGGAAUUACUGGGCGUAAAGCGUGCGCAGGCGGUUUUGUAAGUCGGAUGUGAAAUCCCCGGGCUCAACCUGGGAACUGCGUUUGAAACUACAAAGCUAG